AAGCCAGUCAAUGAAUCUGCUUACCUGAUUGCGUUUCUGCAGAAAUUUUUUAUAAUUGGCAAUAGUAAUGCCAUGUUACGAGCCUUAAUGACGUUAGGGUCUUUAAGGUCCCUACUACUACUACUAGCGUUUGCCAUUUAAGGUCCCUGAAAGUGACUAUAUAA
rnacentral:snoRNA from 1 species